UUGACCUCGGAUCAGGUAGGAAUACCCGCUGAACUUAAGCAUAUCAAAAGCACGGAGGAAUG
rnacentral:rRNA from 1 species